AGCCAGUCCACUCAGAGGGUCUGGAGGAGUGCUGGAGGAGACGCUGUCAGGGGGAGGGACCACGUCUACUGAACCGGAGGAGGAGAGCGACAUGGGAGUGGGAGGAGAAGCAGGAGGUGCCUGUACAGAGGGACAGAUGGCACAGUGGGUGCAGGUCCAGUAUCCCUGGUUCAUCCUGAUCAGCCUCCAGAAUCCACCAGAAGCAUGACCAGGAGAAAGCUGUUACUGGAGAUGAGUGGAUUAAUUACAAAUAUAAUUUGUUUUUGUUCUUUUCUCAGUACCAGGGAAGAACUAUAACUAUCUAGUCUGUGGCAAUCGCACACCCACUACAGAUUUGGAAAAAUAGAGCACAGGUCAGAAAAACAUGCUCAUGAAUUACUUAGUGGUUCUACUGAUAACUGACACAAUCAUUUUUUGUGAGAUUAAGAUUUCGGUUAAACACAGAAAUCACAUGUCCUCUGACCAGGGGUUAUUAAAAAAUACACAUAGCCUGCAGAAAACCCAUUGAAAACACACAAGGCCUACACACACACACACACACAAGCAUUCGCACAGCUCUUUCGCACUGGCUGGGAAAAAAACAGGUCAGUAAGAACGGUCAGAGAUCUACACACACUGGAGUACAUUGUUCUGAUUAACACUUAAACUAAUCACAAACCCAGACGCUAAACCACACAAACACAUAGGAUCCUACUUUACAACCAAACAUUUCUACAAGUCUUUUGAACAGGAUGGGGGAAAAGGAUCGUGAGAGACUUCUGUCCAUCUAGAGACGGAUAAACUACACGACAGGACGGACAUCUUCACCUGCUCGCUCUGGCUUGAGUGCACUCUGAUCAUCUCCUUAUAGCGGAAACUCAUCAGCUCCUGCUGCUGUGUGCGCUUUUUCUACAAAGAGCACCUCGAUAUACAUCAUAAAGAAAGAAAACGUCAUCCUAAACAGACCCUGGUGGCAGAGGUGUGGCCUGAACCCCCUGUAUACCAGGGCAAACAUUUUCCAAAAUAAAUCGCUAAUAAUUUCCACUUAAAAUACACUGAAUUUGUUUUUUGAGUAACAAAAAAAUACUGUUUUCUAGCUACAUUAGCUAUCCUAGUCUCUAUCGAUAACCCAAGGUAAUCAACAUAAGAAAAGAGACAAAGCUUUCACAAACAAACUACAUGAAGAGUGGUGUCCAAAUGAAUUUACGGCCAGUCAACGAUAAGGUUGAAAUAGUUUGUUUACCUUCUUAGAGUUGUAGCUUAAAUAAUCUAGCUGGUUAAAUCAGUCCUAGCCUGCUUAAUAAUAUUCAUUAGCUAGCUAAAUCAGACAGAAGUAGACCUAGCAUAGAAAAGUUUUUUAUAAAAACAAAACAGGAAAAUGACUGACUAGCAUUAGAUAGGUAACUAGCUAGUUAGCAGGUUCAAGAUGGAGGUCAAGGCCACCAGUGUAUCGAUCUUUCAUCAUUUUGUGAGUAAAGAUUAAGCGAUAAGACAAAAACGACAGCAACAAAAAUGUCAGGCAACACCUCAUCCCCAUGGUAAUAAUCUGUAAUAAUUUCCUAUUUCUAAUAAUCAAACAAUCACAGCACUGACUUUCAGUCACCUUUAGUUCAGUCUAAAUGCAGUAGUUCUGGUGCUGGAAAGUCAGAAUCUAGUACACUUUUCCAGACUCUUCCAGGACCCGAACUGAGGAACUCUGCUCUAAGAUUUUGUUUCAGUGUGUACCUGUCUCCAUGCAGGAAGAGAAGCUGGAGCCACAGGCUCAGCUGGAGGUUCAGGUAGAGAAGGAGCAGAUGGAAUUUGCUUCAGAUUGGGCAUGGAGCCGCACUGACACCAACAGACAAGAAUACAAAGAUAAGAGCUACAGAGCUGAGUGUAACAUUAUAGUGUGUGUGUGUGUGUGUGUGUGGUGUCCUGCAACAGAUAAACAUCCAUUUUAGGAUGAUUCCUGCCUCACACCCGAUAUUUCCGGGAAAG